rnacentral:rRNA from 1 species
UACGUAGGAUCUAAACGUUGUUCGGAAUCAUUGGGCGUAAAGGGUACGCAGGCGGUCUUUUAAGUGAGUGGUGAAAUCCUGAGGCUCAACCUCAGACUUGCCAUUCAUACUGGAAGACUCGAAUCGUAAUAAGGGUGGCAGGAAUUCCUAGUGUAGGAGUGAAAUCUGUAGAUAUUAGGAGGAACACCAAUAGCGUAGGCAAGCCACUAGGUAACGAUUGACGCUCAGGUACGAGAGCUAGGGGAGCAAAUGGG